rnacentral:rRNA from 1 species
CCUACGGGAGACAGCAUUGAGGAAUAUUGGUCAAUGGGCGGAAGCCUGAACCAGCCAAGUAGCGUGCAGGAUGACGGCCCUACGGGUUGUCAACUGCUUUUAUACGGGAAUAACGCGCCUUACGUGUAGGGCUUUGCAUGUACCGUAUGAAUAAGGAUCGGCUCACUUCGUGCCAGCAGCCGCGGUAAUACGGAGGAUUCAAGCGUUAUCCGGCUUUAUUGGGUUUAAAGGGUGCGUAGGCGGUCGGAUAAGUUAGAGGUGAAAUCCCGAGUCUCAACUUCGGAAUUGCCUCUGAUACUGUUCGGCUAGAGAGUAGUUGCGGUAGGCUGAAUGUAUGAUGUAGCGGUGAAAUGCUUAGAGAUCAUACAGAACACCGAUUGCGAAGGCAGCUUACCAAGCUACUUCUGACGUUGAGGCACGAAAGCGUGGGGAGCAAACAGGAUUAGAUACCCGAGUAGUC